UAUGUUCAUGAUCUUUUUUUUUUUUCAAGUGUGUCCUCAAUGCGAGAGCCGGUCGCAAUGUCAGGACAAGUCCUGUGGCCCAGAAGAGGCCUGUGUUCUGGAUAGGGUCUGCUUUAUGAGAUCCUGCAACCGGUCACCCAAGUGCGUGCCCAAAACAGAGGUUCCAGUCUGCAGGGUCAAAUGCCAGCCGCAACAACGCUGUGAAUUUCAUAAGGCAAAUAUUAAUGGAAAAUUGAAGUACUCUUUUACUUGCAUCGAAGCAUGAGAGACGUCUGAGGAAGGAGACACAUUCAUCUACCACAGACCCAUCUUAAGCGUAACUAAUUCAAGUUGACUAAGCAAUAUCUUAAACAAAUUUAUCUCAAUUGUAAAGCAUGUAUAGAAAAUAUUUAGAAUAAAGCCAAUAUAUAAA